rnacentral:lncRNA from 1 species
AUCAUAUAGAACUUAAUCGUGUAAAUUCACAUCUAAAGAUGAGAGAAAGAAUACUAAAUGUAAAGUGGUAUUAAACUUUGUGUUUCAUUGAAUAUCUUUUGAAAGUUGGAUUUCCAUCUAUAUUCAUCAGUAAAUCAUUUGUUUCUGAAAAUUAAUUGAAAAGGAUUCCAUCUGUCUUAGUAUCGAAAAUUUAUCUUGGAAUCUACUUAUGAGUUCUUAUUGGG